GAGCGGCAAAAGCUCAAAUUUGAAAUCUGGUACCUUUGGUGCCCGAGUUGUAAUUUGGAGAGUACCACUUUGGGACUGUACUUUGCCUAUGUUCCUUGGAACAGGACGUCAUGGAGGGUGAGAAUCCCGUGUGGCGAGGGUGUCAGUUCUUUGUAAAGGGUGCUCGAAGAGUCGAGUUGUUUGGGAAUGCAGCUCUAAGUGGGUGGUAAAUUCCAUCUAAAGCUAAAUACAGGCGAGAGACCGAUAGCGAACAAGUACAGUGAUGGAAAGAUGAAAAGAACUUUGAAAAGAGAGUGAAAAAGUACGUGAAAUUGUUGAAAGGGAAGGGCAUUUGAUCAGACAUGGUGUUUUGCGCCCCUUGCCUCUCGUGGGCUUGGGACUCUCGCAGCUCACUGGGCCAGCAUCGGUUUUGGCGGCCGGAAAAAACCUAGGGAAUGUGGCUCUGCGCCUCGGUGUAGAGUGUUAUAGCCCUGGGGAAUACGGCCAGCCGGGACC
rnacentral:rRNA from 1 species